UACGUAGGUGGCGAGCGUUGUCCGGAUUUACUGGGCGUAAAGGGAGCGUAGGCGGGCUUUUAAGUGAGAUGUGAAAUACUCGGGCUCAACUUGAGUGCUGCAUUUCAAACUGGAAGUCUAGAGUGCAGGAGAGGAGAAUGGAAUUCCUAGUGUAGCGGUGAAAUGCGUAGAGAUUAGGAAGAACACCAGUGGCGAAGGCGAUUCUCUGGACUGUAACUGACGCUGAGGCUUGAAAGCGUGGGGAGCAAACAGG
rnacentral:rRNA from 1 species